ACUCCUACGGGAGGCAGCAGUAGGGAAUAUUGGACAAUGGGUGCGAGCCUGAUCCAGCCAUGCCGCGUGCAGGAAGACGGCCUUCUGGGUUGUAAACUGCUUUUGCCAGGGGAUAAAAAGUCCCUGCGGGGAAAAUUGAAGGUACCUGGUGAAUAAGCCACGGCUAACUACGUGCCAGCAGCCGCGGUAAUACGUAGGUGGCAAGCGUUGUCCGGAUUUAUUGGGUUUAAAGGGUGCGUAGGUUGUUUUGUAAGUCAGUGGUGAAAUCCGGCAGCUUAACUGUCGAUGUGCCAUUGAUACUGCAGAACUUGAGUACAGACGAGGUAGGCGGAAUUGACGGUGUAGCGGUGAAAUGCUUAGAUAUCGUCAAGAACACCGAUAGCGAAGGCAGCUUACUAGACUGUAACUGACACUGAUGCACGAAAGUGUGGGGAUCAAACAGGAUUAGAUACCCUGGUAGUC
rnacentral:rRNA from 1 species